rnacentral:rRNA from 1 species
UGGCCAGACUCCUACGGGAGGCAGCAGUGGGGAAUAUUGCACAAUGGGGGAAACCCUGAUGCAGCGACGCCGCGUGAGCGAUGAAGUAUUUCGGUAUGUAAAGCUCUAUCAGCAGGGAAGAAGAUGACGGUACCUGACUAAGAAGCCCCGGCUAACUACGUGCCAGCAGCCGCGGUAAUACGUAGGGGGCAAGCGUUAUCCGGAUUUACUGGGUGUAAAGGGAGCGUAGACGGCGAUGCAAGCCAGAUGUGAAAGCCCGGGGCUCAACCCCGGGACUGCAUUUGGAACUGUGUGGCUGGAGUGUCGGAGAGGCAGGCGGAAUUCCUAGUGUAGCGGUGAAAUGCGUAGAUAUUAGGAGGAACACCAGUGGCGAAGGCGGCUUACUGGACUGUAACUGACGUUGAGGCUCGAAAGCGUGGGGAGCAAACAGGAUUAGAUACCCUCGUA